rnacentral:lncRNA from 1 species
AUCACCAGGGACAGACCCUAAAGCCUCAGGUUUGGACCCUAUGAUGCUCCUGACCUGGCAACCCUGAUUCAAAGGUACCUGGAGGAUCAUCUAGCCCAAGCCCCUGAAAUGUAGGAAUUCUGUCCACAGCUGCCCUGGGUGGGCUCCACCCACCAACCUUCUGGUUAACAGCCAGAUGCACUGACCCAUUAUAAUUUUAAUAAUAAACAUAACCCCUCCCCAAUUAACAAUGCACAAGAUGGCCUGGGAGGGGGGUCGUACUUGCACUACUUGUUUGUUAUUUCUGCUGCAGCUUAGGUUGUAAGAAUUAUAUUGCUUAUUAAUUCCUGUUUCUAUUAUGUUGCUAGCUGUCUUGAGGGUCUAGUUUUAGAACAAAGUGUAACAUGUAAAUAUUUUAAUUUACAUUCCAGCAGGAGCAAGUAUCUUCCUCGUUUCCUUUCCUGGCAGCUGGUGGUUGAAACUAUUAUGGCACAUCUGCAUCCUGUUUCUUCUACCAAGAAAUUCAGAGUAGUACACAUUCUUUUCUAUGCUUUCAUCAUCACAACAACCCUGUGAGGUAGGUUAGGCUCGGAAAUAAUGACUUGCCUAAUUUCACCCAGUGAGCUUCAAAUCAGAGAGGAAUUUUGAGCUUGAAUCUCCCCCAUCCUGUUCCAGCCUCCUAUCUUGUUGUGCUGUGUAUUUAUUUAUUUUAUCCACCUUUCAUUCCAAGGUCUUAGAGUGGGUCACAAGAUGUCAGAAGUCAUACAAAAUUAAAAACAGUUUAAAACAAGUUACAUAAAGAUUAAAAAAAGAAAUUUGCAUGGUCAUUAUGUAAUUCCAUCCCAUUCAUUUCAAUGUAAAGGAAAGAGGGAGAUGCAAUCAAAUACAUAUCAUCUGCAGAAUGAAAGCAGCAAUAGCAGCGAAUCCUUAUUGUAUUCGCUGGAUUGAUUUCCAUUCCAAACAUGGGACAAAUAAGUGAACAUAAGCAAUUUCUUCUCUAGAUUCUGUUUCUGUUGGAUUUCUUUGACAUCCCCAAGUGUGUAUCAAAACAGGCAGAGCUGUGUGCAAUCUCCAAUGAUUUUCCUCUGAGAUGAGGGCUGGUCUCCUGUCUACCUUUCAUUCUCUGUCUCUUCCUUCCAAGUGGGAGCUACUUGAUAUUUAUUGAUAUAGAAAUGCAAGUAGCACCUGCUGUUACAAUUUUCACAGCUCAGUGUUUACACUUUGCUUGUAAAUUGUGGCAUCUCAAAGUCUCUGCCCUGUCAGAAGCAUGAUUGACAGCCUGUUAACAUGGUUUAUCAAGAUAACAGGCCUGGCAUUUCCAUUUUGUAACAAUGACUUGUCACAUUUUGCAGAUACAGUGUACUUUUGAUCUGGGAAGCUGCAUUAUGUCAGUUUAAACCACUAGUCCAUUGCUGUCUACUCCAGGCAUGCGGAAUCUUCGCCCCUCUUGAUAUUGUUAAUUCCAACUUGUCCCAGCCCCAGCCACACCUUCCCCUUUCCUGGCAAUGGCAAUGGCUUCCUGAGGUUUUAGAUGAAGAGGCAAAGUAGGCCCAGGACAAUUUGCUGACUGACAAUCCUGAGCUAGAUGGACUCUGUAUAAGAUAGCUUCCUAGAAACCUACAUUUUAUGUUAUUUAUCCAAAGAUGAGCAUGCUACCUUCUCCACAAGACAUGAAGAUUCAUUCCUUUAUUUUACAGGCCACAAGCAUGUUGUUGUGAAGCACCUUGAAAGGGCAAUAUAAAUAUGUUUUUCAUUUAGAGAAAUAAAUUAAAAAUGACACAGAAGAAGAACUCUAUGUUGCCACUUGGAACUUUACAGCUGGCUUCCCUUCACGAUCCAUGCAUUUGACAUAUAACCAGCCAGGGAAUAUUUAUGAUUAAUUCUGGCUUCCCAGAGGAGAUUGGAUGUCUUCUUCUAUUCCUCAACCCUGUGCUUCCUCACCUCCUUUCAUACUUGGAUGGUGCUGACUACCCCUCUCCAAAGUGCAUAGUGCAUGUUCUAUCUUGGGUAUUAAACCUCUACCCCAAAAGGUGUAACCCAGCCCUUCCAUUGGAUGGGGACGAUCUCACUGCUAAGACGGCUAAGACCUUCAGUACUCAUAAAAGAAGGAUGUGAUAAUCCCAGUCCUAAGGACACUUCAAAACAAGGAUUUCCAGAGCCACCUUGGUGGUUAUAUAACUUACCCACUUUAAUGCAUCAUGCUUUGCAAUGCUACUGGUUGGAUGUAAUGUGUGAAGUGAUGCCGGAACUCAUUUCAGAAAUGUGGGUUUAUAUUAUUCUGUGAGAUCUUACUGUGAUUCAUCAUUACUCUUCCUUGGCUUGAAGGUUCGCCUAGUGUUAUCUACCUGUACAUUUUAUUCAGCAGAUAGGAGGGGAAGAAGUUGCAUAUUAGUAGAAGCAGGAAAUGACUCAAUUAUUUGCAUUUUUAGAGUUCUGUUUCAUGGAAAUAUGACCUUUUGGAGUGUGGGGUGGGCACAGUGUUUCCAACACAUCCUUGGAAGGAAGAACAUAAGAAAGAUUGUAAAGCAGUUUGCUAAUGGAGUCGCUUGAUGAAUAAUAAAUAGCAGGGUUUUCUUAAACGUAGCAAUUAACUCACUGCAGAACUUGCAUUCUAGGGCCAGAACAAGACAUGGCUGCCUCCUAAAACAGCAGGUCCAUGUCUGAUCUUCUUCUUUCACCUUCUCCUGCAGCAUCUAGUGAUACAGGCUGCAUCAUGUGAUGGAACUGGACUGCAAGGUUUUCUUCGUCCUAAUUCACAGACAUCAAUGUCUGGAUCAAAACUGAUUGAUUAAAUUUAUAACUUCAUGUUUCCUCCCAAA